CGCGGCCUAUCAGCUUGUUGGUGAGGUAACGGCUCACCAAGGCAUCGACGGGUAGCUGGUCUGAGAGGACGAUCAGCCACACUGGGACUGAGACACGGCCCAGACUCCUACGGGAGGCAGCAGUAGGGAAUCUUGCGCAAUGGGCGAAAGCCUGACGCAGCAACGCCGCGUGGGGGAUGAAUGCCUUCGGGUUGUAAACCCCUUUCAGCAGGGACGAAAAUGACGGUACCUGCAGAAGAAGCUCCGGCCAACUACGUGCCAGCAGCCGCGGUAAUACGUAGGGAGCGAGCGUUGUCCGGAAUUAUUGGGCGUAAAGAGCUCGUAGGCGGUUCAGUAAGUCGGGUGUGAAAACUCAAGGCUCAACCUUGAGACGCCACUCGAUACUGCUGUGACUUGAGUCCGGUAGAGGAGUGUGGAAUUCCUGGUGUAGCGGUGAAAUGCGCAGAUAUCAGGAGGAACACCAGCGGCGAAGGCGGCACUCUGGGCCGGUACUGACGCUGAGGAGCGAAAGCAUGGGGAGCAAACAGGAUUAGAUACCCAGGUAGUCCAUGCCGUAAACGUUGGGCACUAGGUAUGGGAUCAUAUCAACGGAUUCCGUGCCGUAGCUAACGCAUUAAGUGCCCCGCCUGGGGAGUACGG
rnacentral:rRNA from 1 species